UUUUCCCCUUUCAACAGGCUAGACAGUGCUUCAUGGUAGAAAGAGAGACAAGUGACUGCUUUUUCGAUCUUCAUAAGGGUGGGAGGAUGAGGGUGGCUUCCUAACCUUGUAUCAAGAUCUUGACUUAUUUGCUUAAUCCAUGACCUGGUUGAUUCGUCAAGUCUGGCCUCUCCCAUCUUGUUCGUGGACAUUUCUCUUUUACUCUAUUUUUGGAUGAUUUUCUGAGGUUUUUUCGUUCAUCGGAUUUGAGUGCCUUUUGAGGCAGUUCUUUUUGGGGGAUUAUGUGCUAGUUCAUCCAUGAGUUUGCCUAUGAUAUUUCCCUAGCAUUUCCCUUGCUUAAAUCUCACGAAUUUGGUUUUUCCUCAAAAUUAGUUCCUCUCCUAGGGUUCGUCGUUUUCCUUCAAAUUGAAGUUGUUUCUCUAAUCUUUUGGAGUGCAGCUGCUUGGAUCUUUGUUUCCAUAACAAGAAAAGCUUGCGGUUUAAAUCUCUUCUGAAUCAGCUUCUUGUUUUAGUAGCCCGAUGGUGUUUUUGUGUUUUCCAUUCUUUGACUUGGACAGGUAACGCCCGAGAAGCUGGGAGUUCUCACCAUCAGGUAACACCUGAGAUACUUGUUUAUUUCAGUUUUGCAGUACGCUAAUGAUAGCUUGCACUGUCGGCCAGCUUUUGAUCUAAUCCUGAUUGAGCUUCUGUCUCUAGAAAUGUCCCUUUUGUAAUUAGCUUAGUUUAAAUUAUUUUCUUGUGUUUGAUCCUUUCAGUUGAGUAGCAGUAGCUUGCUGAAGAAGUCCUUCUCGUAGGGGUGAGUGUGCAUGCACGUACAUGAUCGUCUGCGUUUGUACUGUGUGAUUCGUAAAAAAAAAUAAUCCACCUACUAAUUACUAAUUAAGCAGACAUUCUAUCUUAUUCAAACUCCUUAUUAUGGUCACGCGCUCCUUAAACGCAAGUUUCUUUUGAAGCGCUAUGAUGUCAGCUGCCUCAUGUUCCUUCUUCUCAUCAUCAUCAUAUACAACAUCUAUCAAUAUUUGUUGACAUUCAUCAAUAUUUUUUAAAAAAAUCUAGAUUAAUUGUUACCAACAUUUCUUGAUGUUAGCCACAUUUUUAUAUGUACCAAUAUUUUUCUUUAACAUGUUUACACUCGUAAACAUUAUUGCUCAACAAUUUUUUACACGCACUAUUUUUUAAUUCACCAAUAAUUUUUUAAUAUUCACCAACUUUUUUACAUAAUAAAUAUUGAGAUAGUUCAUCUAAAAUGUUGAGAUAGUUGGUUAGACCGUUGUGAGUUAUUUAUUUGGCUACUGCUGGGUUAUGUGUAAUUAUCCAUCUAUCUUUCCAAUAGAUAGGAAAUCCCAUUGGAGUACUCGAUGCAGCAGAGAGAGAGCGGGCGCCUCAAUGGGCUGCGGCCUGCGGGAGUGCGGCUCGUGCCCAGCUGCUGCUGCUGCCUCCGGCUGGGGAAAAAAAGGCCAUCUUUCUAAUGGGCCGGGCUCUGCUCCGCCUUAGUACAGUAGAUGAUUGAUGAUGACAUGAAGAAACGUGGAUUCAGACAGAACCAUGCUAAUAAUGUAAAAUGGAACAGGAUCGUUUUCUUUGUCAGGGCCUCCCUGCUAUGCUAGCAUAUGAAACUGGCAACCUGCUGACGGCAGGUUGAUGCUAACGUAGACUGGAUCAUGUGGGAAUCAUCUUUAAUUCUUUUGUGGAAGGUGUCAACUCAGCG
rnacentral:lncRNA from 1 species